rnacentral:rRNA from 1 species
AACGAACGCUGGCGGCAUGCCUAACACAUGCAAGUCGAACGGGAUCCUAGCUUGCUAGGUGAGAGUGGCGGACGGGUGAGUAACACGUGGGAAUCUGCCUUUUGGUUCGGGAUAACCGCGGGAAACUGCGGCUAAUACCGAAUGCCCUCGAGAGAGGAAAGAUUUAUCGCCAGAAGAGGAGCCCGCGUCCGAUUAGGUAGUUGGUGGGGUAAAGGCCUACCAAGCCGACGAUCGGUAGCUGGUCUGAGAGGAUGAUCAGCCACACUGGGACUGAGAUACGGCCCAGACUCCUACGGGAGGCAGCAGUGGGGAAUAUUGGACAAUGGGGGGCCAACCCGUGAUCCAGCCAAUGCCGCGUGAGUGAUG